rnacentral:lncRNA from 1 species
AUCAGAAAAUUUUACUUAAAUUUGAGCUAUAGCAAUGGAACAGUGAAAUCUGCAGUAAAAGGUAUUGAUGUUAUUCUUGAUCCAGUACAUUUGGGACAGAUACUGCAUUUGCCUUGUGAAGGCUACCAAUAUGGAGCUCCCUAUUAAAGAAGAAGAAAUUAAUGUUAUCUUAGGGAGAACUUAUACUGAAAGUCUAAAUAAAUUGGAAGCA